rnacentral:rRNA from 1 species
GCGAAUGGCUCAUUAAAUCAGUUAUCGUUUAUUUGAUAGUACCUUACUACUUGGAUAACCGUGGUAAUUCUAGAGCUAAUACAUGCUAAAAACCCCAACUUCGGAAGGGGUGUAUUUAUUAGAUAAAAAACCAAUGCCCUUCGGGGCUCUUUGGUGAUUCAUGAUAACUUCUCAGAUCGCAUGGCCUUGCGCCGGCGACGGUUCAUUCAAAUUUCUGCCCUAUCAACUUUCGAUGGUAAGGUAUUGGCUUACCAUGGUUUCAACGGGUAACGGGGAAUUAGGGUUCGAUUCCGGAGAGGGAGCCUGAGAAACGGCUACCACAUCCAAGGAAGGCAGCAGGCGCGCAAAUUACCCAAUCCCGACACGGGGAGGUAGUGACAAUAAAUACUGAUACAGGGCUCUUUUGGGUCUUGUAAUUGGAAUGAGUACAAUUUAAACCUCUUAACGAGGAACAAUUGGAGGGCAAGUCUGGUGCCAGCAGCCGCGGUAAUUCCAGCUCCAAUAGCGUAUAUUAAAGUUGUUGCAGUUAAAAAGCUCGUAGUUGAACCUUGGGCCUGGCUGGCAGGUCCGCCUCACCGCGUGUACUUGACCGGCCGGGCCUUCUCUUCUGGAGAACCUCAUGCCCUUUACUGGGCGUGUUGGGGACCAGGACUUUUACUUUGAAAAAAUUAGAGUGUUCAAAGCAGGCCUUUGCUCGAAUAUGUUAGCAUGGAAUAAUAGAAUAGGACGUGCGGUCCUAUUUUGUUGGUUUCUAGGACCGCCGUAAUGAUUAAUAGGGACAGUCGGGGGCAUCAGUAUUCAAUUGUCAGAGGUGAAAUUCUUGGAUUUAUUGAAGACUAACUACUGCGAAAGC